rnacentral:snRNA from 1 species
GUGUUUCCGCCUAGCACAAAUACUAAAACUGGAACGAUACAGAGAAGAUUAGCAUGGCCCAUGCGCAAGGAUGACACACAAAUUCGUGAAGCGUUGCUCAAUUGG